CCGAGGCCGCCGCUAGCGGAGCCUUUCGCCCGCACUGGCCCCGCGCAUGGGGGCGGUGGGCGCUCAGCUCCUGCGGCCGCCGCCCGGGCUCCGUGGGAAGCCGGGAGGGGCAGGACGGACCGCACUGCCUGUGGGGAAGGGAGGCUCCUCGGUCCCUCUCCUUCAGGCCCCGCGUGACCAGGUUUAGCGUGGGAGAGGCAGAAACGCAAGAAGGAUCACUAGAGGACUGGUUCAUUCUGGGAGGCGGAAAGAGAGCUGGCUUCUGUCUUCCCCGGGUGACUGCGCGCUCCUUGAGGGGUCGGAGCACUUUGUCAUCAUCUGUGUCCUGCCCCCCACCCACCCAUAACCCCACAGUGUCCAGCAUCAUGCCUGGCAUCCGAAGCAGCACUGGGUCAAUUUGGGAUUCCUGGAUUCUUCACCUGGUGGACUGACCCGAGCCUUCAUCCUUGAAGACCUGAGGCACUGGGGCUCCAUCUGUAGUUACCACUGGACACGAUGAUGUAGGAGAUACACAGUGAAGUGUACAGCUUGAUGAAUUUCUACACAUGGCUAUCCCUGUGACCACACCCAGAUGAAGAUACAGAACAUUUCCAGUUCUUUGUACCCUUCGCAGCCAAUACCCACCCCCCAGGAGUGAUCAUCACUUGUACUUCUCUGGCAUUGAUUAGUUUUGUUUGUUCCUGAACUUCCUACAAAUGGGAUCAUAUAGUAUGUACACUUCUGUGUCUAGCUUCUUUUGCUCGACAUUAUGUCUAUAAGAUUCAGCC